UGGGGGAUAUUGCACAAUGGGCGAAAGCCUGAUGCAGCGACGCCGCGUGGGGGAUGAAGGCCUUCGGGUUGUAAACUUCUUUUGCUCUGAACAAGGCGCACCAUGGGGUGUGUUGAGUGUAGGGGUUGAUUAGCGCCGGCUAACUACGUGCCAGCAGCCGCGGUAAUACGUAGGGCGCGCGCGUUGUCCGGAAUUAUUGGGCGUAAAGGGCUUGUAGGUGGCUGGUUGCGUCUGUCGUGAAAGCUCAUGGCUUAACUGUGGGUUUGCGGUGGGUACGGGCUGGCUUGAGUGCAGUAGGGGAGGCUGGAAUUCCUGGUGUAGCGGUGGAAUGCGCAGAUAUCAGGAGGAAUACCGGAGGCGAAGGCGGGUCUCUGGGCUGAUACUGACACUGAGGAGCGAAAGCAUGGGGAGCGAACAGG
rnacentral:rRNA from 1 species